UUGCAUGUCCUUAAAAAUACUCCUCUUAUUCCAAAAAACUGCUAAAAAGGCAAAAGUAUUAAACCCUAGAAAAAAUUCCGAACUACCUCCGUUGCAUAAAUCCCAACCUCCAUUAUUUCUGUUCUCGCUUCCUCCGUCCGUCGACCUGACGAUCAGCAGCCAUGCCGAAGCAUUACAGUAAGUUCAGACAAAUGAUGUUUUUUCGUGUGUAUAUACAUAUAUCUACAUAUAAAUUCUCAAUUUGUUUCAUAUACAAAUCUAUUUGUACAUAACAGGGAAAGAAGAAGCUAAUGCCGCAAGAUAUAGAACGCACGCUGUAAAGUUCCCUCGAGUCAGUCUAUUACUCUUCAGGCAUCUUCUACAUCUCUAUCCUCUCUAUUAGUUUUACUCAAUUUUUGCUAAUUAUGUUGAUUUUUUCUAAUUGGGUUUUGAGAUUACAAUUUGUUUCGUCAAUAGUAUAGAUUAAUUGGGACAAUUUUUUUGUUACUUGGCUUCUCUUAGGGUUUAUAAUCUCUCAGGAAAAUGAAAUAUAUGGUUUAAUGUGUAUUGGAAAUUAUGUAUUCUCAAACGCAUAUUUCCCCGGGAACCAAAAAAGAAGGUGAAGGCAAAAUUCACACUUGUUAUCACAUGACAGAUAUUGUGUUCCUUAAACACGAGCCACUACUACCGAAGUUUAGAGAUAUGGGUGCCUAUGUUAGAAAGAUAAAAGAAAGCGGCAUCAAAAAGAACAGAGGAUGCUGAAAAAAUAACAUAUGUGAUUCAUUUUCACCCUCCCCAACUAGUAUUCAAUAAAAAGCACUGAGAUUUAGAGUCAUGAACAUACUGAAAAAGUAGUCCACCGGUGUGUUUCAUGGCAGACCUGCUUGAUCCUACUGGGAAGUUGACCUGACUUCCUAGAACUGCAGCGAUUAUAUAUAGAUGUAUUACUUCUGUUCAUAACAUAUUUUGUGCAGAAGCUCUUGUUCUUCUUCAUUUCCUACCUUUUCCUGGCGGUAAUUUGCCUUUGGUAGUUGAACAAUAACAUUUAGUGUCACGAAGAUGUUGAAGAUGUGGGGGCCCAUCAUGUUGUUGCUGUGCACCUAAAAAUCUUUAGGCAUUGGUAUUUGGAAUGUUUGUAAUUGUCAGUUCUUCAGGAGCAAUAUCACGACGAUCUCAAUCAGGAAGGUAAAGGUGAGCUGUUUCCUUUCAUCUCAAAUGUGAGGAAGGAGAAUGCUGAGGAUACAGGGGUUGGAAAAGAAAUUCUCCUUGAUCUGCAACAAGUUGCCGAGGAUGCUCAAAUUUGUCUGAGGUUUUGAUGUCACCUAAAAAGUGGGGGGUGUAUAAUGCCAUCCAGGUAAUGUUGAUCCUUUUAUGUUGUCUUAAUAACUCUUAUUUUUUCUUGGUGCUUAAUUUAUUUAUUUUUGCUACAUCACAUAACUAAUUCCGUUUUGUUAUCCCUGGUAUAUAUUUUCUUUCUGUUUCAUUAUAUACAUGUCCCAUGAGUUAAAAGAAUAUUUUUCUAAUAAUGGGUAUGGAAGUUUCAUCAUUUUGCUAGUUGGAAUCAACUCAUGUAUUUUACAGCUUUUCUAUACUUUGAUGUAUGUGGAAGCUCCAUGUUUUCAAUUGUCUAGAUAAGUUGUGUUGCACAGGAGUUUUGACGUGUUCUUUAUUGGUAUUAUAGUGAUUAGUAGUGCCUGCAUGUGUUGGGAACUGGUACCUAGGGUUUAUUUCAGAAAAAUCUGUCCUUAAUUAUGGUUUUGGGUUUUAUCAACUCAAAUCUAUUUAUAGAUUUUACUCAAAUCCUCUGCUCCUCCCAGAUAUACCUUUUGAGGGUACAAAUGGAAUUGAUGGUUUUUACUAGUUUAUUGAAUAGAAUAAAUGUCAACAAGUUAAAAUAACUGACGAAAGGCCGGGAAAUGGGCCUCUCCUUCAUCAUUAUGGCUUUUGAAUGGUUGUUUUAAUUUUAUCAGAAAAAGAAAAUAAAAAAAGCUGUGUGCUUCAAAGAUGAUUUCAACAUUACUUAUUUUAAGAAGGAACCCUUUUGAUUUUAAGUCCCUAUAUUAGUAUAUAUUUUAUUCUUGGUGUACACUAAUAUUUAACUGUUUUAUUGGUGGAUAUCCUGAUGUGUUCAUACAUAGAUACUAUAAUGUUUCUGUUCUUGAAUAAGUUAGCUGUAUUUGGUUACGGAUUGCUUUUCUACUUGUUGACUACAAGCCUUAGUGUAGAUGUGGACCAUGUGGUGUGCUGUUUUCCCGUAAAACAAUCAAAUGUCAACCCUUCAAAAUCUUGUUUUUCAUUAAUUUAUUCUUUUUUUGUACUUUUCAUUAGGUGACUUACCUAUGUACCUCUUUUUUCGUUAGUGUACUAGUCUUACAUUACAUUAUGAAAGUUGCAUACCUUGCAUUAUCAUUCUAUGGCUCUAUGCUUUUACUGAUGUGAGAGACGAUAAAAAAGCCUGAAUAUUUUCUUGUAUGAGAGCCUGGGAAUAAAUCUGAUAUCCUUGUAAUGAACUAAAAACUGAACAUGAGCUAGCAUAAAUUUUAUGUGGUUCACAUAAAAAGAUUAAGUUACAGGAAUAAGAAAACACCUGAAUACAAAUAAUUUUAUUAGCAUGCAUAAGCACCAGACUAGACUAUCAGAAGCAGAGUUACCAGAUACUAGCAAUGUUCGAAAAAACUAAAAUCGGUACGAGGCGUUUUUCUCUGGGCUAUGCGAGGCAUAAGCCUCGAGGCGGAGCGAGGCGGAAGCCUUGAUUUAAAGAACUAAAAGUCCCCAAUAAUUAUGAAAAAAUACUAAUAAAACCAUAAAAUAAUUCAUUCAUUGUAAAAAUAAUUCAUUCAUUGUAAUAAUAACAAAAAAAUUGUUAUUACAUUUUGAUAACAAAAUUAUGGGCAACACUAGUCAUGUACUCAUGUUAACACUUAAACAUUGAUAGAAUUUAAUACUGGUCAAAAAUUGAAUAUAAAUUUAUGUUUGAUUGUGAUUCAGGGACAGUGUUCACAGGGCAUCACCAACAACAUUAACAUGAUGACCAAGAUCAAGACCACUGUUAUAAACUUGCCAAUUCUAAGUCCCAACUUAUUAUUUUGGUGACAUUAGCAAAUAGCAAUUUAUGUACACAAAUAAUGAUAUUGUUAUUGACAGUCUAAAACACCAAAUGGAAUUAUCAUGUACACCGAGUCAAUACAAGCAGAAUCAGUCAAGCACUAUUUUGUUACAUAUGUGAUUAGUAAAAUUAUUAAAAGUUAAAAUCACCAACAAAAAAAUAAAGAAGAGGUAGUCAGAACUCAGAACUGCAGCAACAAAAAAAAAGAAGUUAAAAUCACCAACAAAAAAUAAAAUGUGAGAGAUUGAUAAAGUUAAAAUCACCUGCAGCAACAAAAAAAACAAAGACAAAAACAUAGAUUACAUUGUUGGAAAAAGACAAAAACAGAGGAAGUCAGAACUCAAAAUAAAGAAGGAGACAAGAAAAUAGAAAAGAUAAAGAAAAAGAAAACAGAAAAAGAAACAGAGACGAAGUCAGAACUCAGGAAAGAAAGAGGAGAAGGAGAAGAAAGAGGAAAAGAAGAGAAGAAAUAGAAAAAGAAGGAGAAGAAAUAGAAAAGCAUAAGAAGUCAGAACUCAAAGAUGCCAGUCGCGAAGUCGGGAGAAGAAGGAGAAGGAGAAGGAGAAGAGAAGGAACAUACCUGUUGAAGAGGUCGGAGGCAGACGCGAAGAGGAGAGCAGUCGCGAUUCGGGAAGAGAAGAGGAGAGUAGUCGCGAUUCGGUAAGCCCAAAUCUAAUAUCACGCUGAAUUUGAUACUUAGGUUUUUUUUAUGCCAAUUUGAGGCGUACGCCUCACGACGCCUUGAGGCGCGACGCAAUGAGGCUUAAGCCUCAGCCGAAAAUGGCGCAAGUCUCACCAAUACCUGGAAAAGCGCUCGCCUCGCACCAACCUUCUUCCGCCUCGCUACGAGGCGCGCCUCGAGCGCUAUUUCGAACAUUGGAUACUAGCAUUAACCAAGCGAACCGCCCAAAUAGGUCUCUUACGUACCAAUACUCUAUAUUUAGCGUAUCAAAAAAUUUCUUUGUUAUUUAACUUAUAAUUGCACAAAUAUCAACAUUAUAAUUUAUUAUUGGAUGCUCAAACAUUUCAUUUGUACUAAAUUAUUUAUAAAACAAUCAACUUAUUAAUUCAACUAAAAAUCUUAUAUAAAACUUUGGUUAUUACAUUUAAAUUCUAAGAGAAUUCUUAGCCAUAAGAACUUAUAUAAAGAUACCCUAGCGUCGCGUUUAAACUGUGUAGCGUACCGAAACGAACCAUGUUUCAGGUAACACCGAUCAGAAGUUCAGAACCAAGCAAUGGAAACAUCAAACAUGCUUGUCCCCCAAUGCACAAGUCUCCUGUAAAUAGUGGGUCUGUGGCCAAACAUUUGACUAGUAAGCACUUGACCAAUACACCAACCAUGACGAAACAUAAAACACACUUGAAUAAAAAUAGUUUUAUUUAGCUUGCUUAAGCAAGCAGAUUAGACCAUUGUAAACCUCAAACAUGACUCUUAAUGGAAGAACUGUAGCCAGUGAGAUCGUCGUAGUAUUUGGACCAUAGCAUUACACCUCCAUAAUUCUUGGUACUCUUAAUCGAAGGCAGGAUCUUUGAUAUUAGAACAUCUGCAGGGACAAAUCCACUAGUUGCUCCACUAGGUGCAGCUGGAAGGCCAAGAAAAAAAUUUGUAGCAGUAAUAUUAGUGGUCCAUUGAUCCCAAGUUGCUUUCAAUGCAG
rnacentral:lncRNA from 1 species